rnacentral:tRNA from 1 species
GCGCUCGUAGCUCAACUGGAUAGAGCGACAGACCUCGGGCCUGUAGGUUAUGGGUUCGAUUCCUAUCGGGCGCACCA